rnacentral:SRP_RNA from 1 species
GCCAGGUGCAAUGGCACCUGCCUGUAGUCCCAGCAUUUGGGAGGCUGAGGCUGGAGGAUCACUUGAUCCAGGAGUUCUGGGCUGUAGUGCACUAUGCUGAUGUGGUUGUCCGCACUAAGUUCGGCAUCAAUAUGGUGACCUCCCGGGAGCGGGGGACCACCAGGUUGCCUAAGGAGGGGUGAACUGGCACAGGUAGGAAAUGGAGCAGGUCAAAACUCCUGUGCUCAUCAGUAGUGGGAUCGUGCCUGUGAAUAGCCAGCCACUGCACUCCAGCCUGGACAACAUAGCAAGACCCCGUCUCU